CCUACGGGAGGCAGCAGUGGGGAAUAUUGCGCAAUGGGCGAAAGCCUGACGCAGCGACGCCGCGUGAGGGAUGAAGGUCUUCGGAUCGUAAACCUCUGUCAGCAGGGAAGAACGGUCACUGUGCUAACCAGCAGUGAAUUGACGGUACCUGCAAAGGAAGCACCGGCUAACUCCGUGCCAGCAGCCGCGGUAAUACGGAGGGUGCGAGCGUUGAUCGGAUUUACUGGGCGUAAAGCGAUCGUAGGCGGUUCGUCAAGUCAAUGGUGAAAUCCCCGGGCGCAACGGGGGAGGUGCAUGUGAACCUGGGAAACGGGACUGUGUAAGAGGAGGGUGGAGUUCCAGGUGUAGGAGUGAGAUGCGUAGAUAUAUGGAGGAAGAAAAGUGGCGAAGGCGACUAUCUGGUCUGUAACGGACGCUGAGGGGGGAAAGCGUGGGUAGCAAACAGGAUUAGAUACCCGGGUAGGC
rnacentral:rRNA from 1 species